rnacentral:rRNA from 1 species
GGGUUGUGAGGUUAAGCGACUAAGCGUACACGGUGGAUGCCCUGGCAGUCAGAGGCGAUGAAGGACGUGCUAAUCUGCGAUAAGCGUCGGUAAGGUGAUAUGAACCGUUAUAACCGGCGAUUUCCGAAUGGGGAAACCCAGUGUGAUUCGUCACACUAUCAUUAACUGAAUCCAUAGGUUAAUGAGGCGAACCGGGGGAACUGAAACAUCUAAGUACCCCGAGGAAAAGAAAUCAACCGAGAUUCCCCCAGUAGCGGCGAGCGAACGGGGAGCAGCCCAGAGCCUGAAUCAGUGUGUGUGUUAGUGGAAGCGUCUGGAAAGGCGCGCGAUACAGGGUGACAGCCCCGUACACAAAAAUGCACAUGCUGUGAGCUCGAUGAGUAGGGCGGGACACGUGGUAUCCUGUCUGAAUAUGGGGGGACCAUCCUCCAAGGCUAAAUACUCCUGACUGACCGAUAGUGAACCAGUACCGUGAGGGAAAGGCGAAAAGAACCCCGGCGAGGGGAGUGAAAAAGAACCUGAAACCGUGUACGUACAAGCAGUGGGAGCACGCUUAGGCGUGUGACUGCGUACCUUUUGUAUAAUGGGUCAGCGACUUAUAUUCUGUAGCAAGGUUAACCGAAUAGGGGAGCCGAAGGGAAACCGAGUCUUAACUGGGCGUUAAGUUGCAGGGUAUAGACCCGAAACCCGGUGAUCUAGCCAUGGGCAGGUUGAAGGUUGGGUAACACUAACUGGAGGACCGAACCGACUAAUGUUGAAAAAUUAGCGGAUGACUUGUGGCUGGGGGUGAAAGGCCAAUCAAACCGGGAGAUAGCUGGUUCUCCCCGAAAGCUAUUUAGGUAGCGCCUCGUGAAUUCAUCUCCGGGGGUAGAGCACUGUUUCGGCAAGGGGGUCAUCCCGACUUACCAACCCGAUGCAAACUGCGAAUACCGGAGAAUGUUAUCACGGGAGACACACGGCGGGUGCUAACGUCCGUCGUGAAGAGGGAAACAACCCAGACCGCCAGCUAAGGUCCCAAAGUCAUGGUUAAGUGGGAAACGAUGUGGGAAGGCCCAGACAGCCAGGAUGUUGGCUUAGAAGCAGCCAUCAUUUAAAGAAAGCGUAAUAGCUCACUGGUCGAGUCGGCCUGCGCGGAAGAUGUAACGGGGCUAAACCAUGCACCGAAGCUGCGGCAGCGACGCUUAUGCGUUGUUGGGUAGGGGAGCGUUCUGUAAGCCUGUGAAGGUGUACUGUGAGGUAUGCUGGAGGUAUCAGAAGUGCGAAUGCUGACAUAAGUAACGAUAAAGCGGGUGAAAAGCCCGCUCGCCGGAAGACCAAGGGUUCCUGUCCAACGUUAAUCGGGGCAGGGUGAGUCGACCCCUAAGGCGAGGCCGAAAGGCGUAGUCGAUGGGAAACAGGUUAAUAUUCCUGUACUUGGUGUUACUGCGAAGGGGGGACGGAGAAGGCUAUGUUGGCCGGGCGACGGUUGUCCCGGUUUAAGCGUGUAGGCUGGUUUUCCAGGCAAAUCCGGAAAAUCAAGGCUGAGGCGUGAUGACGAGGCACUACGGUGCUGAAGCAACAAAUGCCCUGCUUCCAGGAAAAGCCUCUAAGCAUCAGGUAACAUCAAAUCGUACCCCAAACCGACACAGGUGGUCAGGUAGAGAAUACCAAGGCGCUUGAGAGAACUCGGGUGAAGGAACUAGGCAAAAUGGUGCCGUAACUUCGGGAGAAGGCACGCUGAUAUGUAGGUGAAGUCCCUCGCGGAUGGAGCUGAAAUCAGUCGAAGAUACCAGCUGGCUGCAACUGUUUAUUAAAAACACAGCACUGUGCAAACACGAAAGUGGACGUAUACGGUGUGACGCCUGCCCGGUGCCGGAAGGUUAAUUGAUGGGGUUAGCGCAAGCGAAGCUCUUGAUCGAAGCCCCGGUAAACGGCGGCCGUAACUAUAACGGUCCUAAGGUAGCGAAAUUCCUUGUCGGGUAAGUUCCGACCUGCACGAAUGGCGUAAUGAUGGCCAGGCUGUCUCCACCCGAGACUCAGUGAAAUUGAACUCGCUGUGAAGAUGCAGUGUACCCGCGGCAAGACGGAAAGACCCCGUGAACCUUUACUAUAGCUUGACACUGAACAUUGAGCCUUGAUGUGUAGGAUAGGUGGGAGGCUUUGAAGUGUGGACGCCAGUCUGCAUGGAGCCGACCUUGAAAUACCACCCUUUAAUGUUUGAUGUUCUAACGUGGACCCGUAAUCCGGGUUGCGGACAGUGUCUGGUGGGUAGUUUGACUGGGGCGGUCUCCUCCUAAAGAGUAACGGAGGAGCACGAAGGUUGGCUAAUCCUGGUCGGACAUCAGGAGGUUAGUGCAAUGGCAUAAGCCAGCUUGACUGCGAGCGUGACGGCGCGAGCAGGUGCGAAAGCAGGUCAUAGUGAUCCGGUGGUUCUGAAUGGAAGGGCCAUCGCUCAACGGAUAAAAGGUACUCCGGGGAUAACAGGCUGAUACCGCCCAAGAGUUCAUAUCGACGGCGGUGUUUGGCACCUCGAUGUCGGCUCAUCACAUCCUGGGGCUGAAGUAGGUCCCAAGGGUAUGGCUGUUCGCCAUUUAAAGUGGUACGCGAGCUGGGUUUAGAACGUCGUGAGACAGUUCGGUCCCUAUCUGCCGUGGGCGCUGGAGAACUGAGGGGGGCUGCUCCUAGUACGAGAGGACCGGAGUGGACGCAUCACUGGUGUUCGGGUUGUCAUGCCAAUGGCACUGCCCGGUAGCUAAAUGCGGAAGAGAUAAGUGCUGAAAGCAUCUAAGCACGAAACUUGCCCCGAGAUGAGUUCUCCCUGACCCUUUAAGGGUCCUGAAGGAACGUUGAAGACGACGACGUUGAUAGGCCGGGUGUGUAAGCGCAGCGAUGCGUUGAGCUAACCGGUACUAAUGAACCGUGAGGCUUAACCUUACAACGCCGAAGGUGUUU